rnacentral:rRNA from 1 species
UCUGUGUGGGGGAUAACUAUUGGAAACGAUAGCUAAUACCGCAUAAUGUCUACGGACCAAAGCGGGCUUCGGCUCGUGCGCAGAGAGGAACCUAAGCGAGAUUAGCUAGUUGGUGAGGUAAAGGCUCACCAAGGCGACGAUCUCUAGCUGUUCUGAGAGGAAGAUCAGCCACACUGGAACUGAGACACGGUCCAGACUCCUACGGGAGGCAGCAGUGGGGAAUAUUGCACAAUGGGGGAAACCCUGAUGCAGCCAUGCCGCGUGUGUGAAGAAGGCCUUCGGGUUGUAAAGCACUUUCAGUUGUGAGGAAAGUUUAGUAGUUAAUACCUGCUAGAU